rnacentral:rRNA from 1 species
AACGAACGCUGGCGGCAUGCCUAACACAUGCAAGUCGAACGUGAUCCGUGCCUUCGGGUGCGGUGAAAGUGGCGCACGGGUGAGUAACGCGUGGGAACCUGCCCAAUGGUAGGGAAUAACCGCGGGAAACUGCGGCUAAUACCCUAUGAGCCCUACGGGGGAAAGAUUUAUCGCCGUUGGAGGGGCCCGCGUCGGAUUAGGUAGUUGGUGGGGUAAUGGCUCACCAAGCCUUCGAUCCGUAGCUGGUCUGAGAGGAUGAUCAGCCACACUGGGACUGAGACACGGCCCAGACUCCUACGGGAGGCAGCAGUGGGGAAUAUUGGACAAUGGGGGCAACCCUGAUCCAGCAAUGCCGCGUGAGUGAAGAAGGCCUUAGGGUUGUAAAGCUCUUUCGGCGGGGACGAUGAUGACGGUACCCGCAGAAGAAGCCCCGGCUAACUCCGUGCCAGCCGCCGCGGUAA